CUCGAGCGGAGUUACAAAACGUCGACUUAGAAGAACCGUCUGGAAAGGCGGGGCCAUAGAGGGUGAGAGCCCCGUAAACGAAAAGUCUGGCGACUCCGAGACGGCACCCGAGUACCGCGGGACACGAGAAACCCUGUGGGGAAUCUGGGAGGACCAUCUUCCAAGGCUAAAAUACUACCUGACGACCGAUAGUGGACGAGUACCGCGAGGGAAAGGUGAAAAGCACCCCGACGAGGGGAGUGAAAUAGACCCUGAAACCAUGUGCCUACAAGCAGUUCGAGCCCUAUGGCCGCAAGGCAAAGGGUGAGAGCGUGCCUUUUGCAUAAUGAGCCUGCGAGUUGUCCUACGUAGCAAGGUUAAGCCGAGAGGUGUAGCCGCAGCGAAAGCGAGUCUGAUAAGGGCGCUUAGUUGCGUGGGGCAGACCCGAAACCGUGUGA
rnacentral:rRNA from 1 species